AGGCUAACCUCGCAGCCGCCACUACCCCAUCGAACAGUUUUAAGUGGAAAUUCUAAGGCAUUGAUCGUCGCCAUUGGUAAUGAUCAAAACAAACAAAACAACUGUGAAAGCAGCCCUAAGUGUUGUUUCUUGUUGCACUGAGGGAAACUUCAAGCCUUUCAUAAUCAUUGAAAACAUGCAACAUACACAAUAUAGUGAGACACGAGUGAAGGAACAAGGCAAAAAUUAUGAUAAAGAAUGAAUGCUUAUACUGAGGAAAACGUCAAGCCUCUUGUAAUCACCUAAACUCCAAGGGCUGAGAUCUUUUGGACAUUCAUGGCCACGUGGACUUUCGUGUCUUGCAUAAGUGGUUUUGUUACGUAUACAAGAUAAUAAGGGGAUCAUUUUGCUUCAACCAUUUAAUGUAGUCUAUUCCAUUGUACAGUUUUGUAGUGACUGUACACUUUAUUGUUCUCAGGCAAAGGGACCAUCAUUCUUCUUGAUUCAGGGAUUGUGAUGAUAUUAUAUAUGUUUCUUUUGCAUGUGAGGGUAAGCAGAAGCACUUAUGAAUGAUUACCACAUGCAACUUCAUUUCUGGGAUUUUAGAAGCAUAGGAAUUUGCAUGUGAGGUUAACACACAUGAAUUAUUAGAACAUGCAACUUUAUUCCUGUGAUUUUAGAGGCAUAGGAAUUCGCAUGUUAGGUUAAUUACACAUGAAUGAUUCGCACAUGCAACUUCAUUCCUGGGGUUUUAGAGGCAUAGGAAUUCACAUCAUGUUAAAGAUACAUGAAUGAUUAGAACAUGCAACUUUAUUCCUGGGAUUUAAGAGGCAUAGGAAUUCGCAUGUUAGGUUAAUUACACAUGAAUGAUUAGCACAUGCAACUUCAUUCCUGGGAUUUUAGAGGCAUAGGAAUUCACGUCAUGUUAAAGAUACAUGAAUGAUUAGAACAUGCAACUUCAUUCCUGGGAUUUUAGAGGCAUAGGAAUUAGCAUGUUAGGUUAAUUGCACAUGAAUGAUUAGCACAUGCAACUUCAUUCCUGGGGUUUUAGAGGCAUAGGAAUUCACAUCAUGUUAAAGAUACAUGAAUGAUUAGAACAUGCAACUUUAUUCCUGGGAUUUAAGAGGCAUAGGAAUUCGCAUGUUAGGUUAAUUACACAUGAAUGAUUCGCACAUGCAACUUCAUUCCUGGGGUUUUAGAGGCAUAGGAAUUCACAUCAUGUUAAAGAUACAUGAAUGAUUAGAACAUGCAACUUCAUUCCUGGGAUUUUAGAGGCAUAGGAAUUCGCAUGUUAGGUUAAUUGCACAUGAAUGAUUAGCACAUGCAACUUCAUUCCUGGGGUUUUAGAGGCAUAGGAAUUCACGUCAUGUUAAAGAUACAUGAAUGAUUAGCACAUGCAACUUCACUCCUGGGAUUUAAGAGGCAUAGGAAUUCGCAUGUUAGGUUAAUUGCACAUGAAUGAUUAGCACAUGCAACUUCAUUCCUGGGAUUUAAGAGGCAUAGGAAUUCACAUGUCAGGUUAACCCGGUAGCAGCGACGAGCCAAAUUUGUGGUAUUACCGAACAACGACGAGCCAAAUUUGUGCCAUGAUAUAAACCCCCCCAAAAUAGAUGAUGCAUAAACUUUAAGAAGCAUAGGCAUGAGAUGUGUUUUUGACGGAAUCUGGUUGUCCUUCCUCGCAUGGUUGCCCAGGUUGCGAACUCUCAGGGUGAACUCUUGAACAUGUGAGUUAGUAAAGACUGUGAUUGCUCAGUUACUGUUUUAUGGGAAGUCCCUCAGACGAUUCUUAUAGUCAUUUUAGUGCAGUAUUUUAGAUGUAUAUUGUGGACCAAAUAGUUAUUGUUGUUACAUGCUGGACUUGUUAAAAAUGUAAGGGAAACCAGAUUAUAAGUUCCUGUUUAAAAUGCUGCCUCUCUUCUGCCACCUUUGUACUUUCUCUUACAAAUAUGAUAAAAGAAUGAAUGGAAAUGUUGUAUGGAAGGAACCAAUACAAAAGGCUGUAGU